CAAAAUAGUACAGGUGUUGCAAGAAGAGUUAUUUUACCUUUCCUCACCUUUUUCAUUUCCUAUUUUUACCUACACCAAACCCCAAAUCCUAAUUUCACCGCAGCCUCCCACCACUGCCUUCUUUGAAACGCCGUCCACCGUCACCUGUCAAGAAACUGCAGUGCGCCACCUCGCUCAGAACGGAGACAAUGUUCCGUCGCUGCUCCACGCCGCACUACUGCCUCUCCUCCAUGCCGCACCACUGCCUCUCUUCCACGCCGCACCGCUGCAUCUCCAUCUCCCCUGAAACCCGCGAAGUGUCGUCCCUACCUACGCCCCUGCUCCACACAGCGACACCGUGCCUCUGUUCCCAACCGCCGCGCGUUCCAGUCUUCACUCCACUGCCGCCGCGCGGUCUUCGCUCUACUGCUGCCGCGCCGUCGUCACUCCACUACCGCCGCGUCCGUCGUCCCUCCGUCACACUCGCGUCGCCAUCGCACCGUCACAUUCGCGACGCCGUCGCUCCCUGACACUCGCAUCGCCGUUGCGCCGUCACACUCGCGUCCUCGUCGCUCUGUCCUUCGAAUCCAGUGCCAUCUUUCAAACUUCACGGAUGAACCACAACUGAGUUCAACUUCUCAUUGUUGCAUUAUGAAGAGGCUCUUCUGCUGAUUUGGGGAACCAGGAGACAGUUCAGAAAGUCUGUGACAUAGUCAAGAAGCAAUUGGCACUGCCAGAGGGUUCAAGUGUCACUGGAGAGUCCAAGUUUGCUGCCCUUGGAGCUGAUUCUCUUUACACAGAUUGAAGUUUUGCAAUUGAAUAUGGCCAAUGUGCUUUUGGAGAAUGGGAGGAUCAACGCAGUGCACGUGCUUUUGGAGAAAGGGAUUGAUUUGAAUGCAGAGGAUGAAGAAGGGUAUGCUAAUAUCAUGCACAAAUACAUGAAAAAUUCACAGAGAAGCUUUUGUGCUGAUGUGGCAGAGGUUUUGGUGAAGAAAGGUGCUGAUGUUGAAGUCAGGAGUAAGAAGGGUAUCACUGCUUUUGUGCUAAUGUGGUUUGUCCAUAAGAGUGAACUCGUUUCACUGCAGCUAUUGUUGCUUGUGUUCCAACAAAAGUUCACAUUGAGGGAGCAGGUGAAACAGAAUUCAAGAUAUCUCCAACUGAAAUUACAGAUGCUAUGAAAGCAGGAUUGGAUCAGCCUAUAAUGCCAGAGCCUGAGGAUGAAGAACAUGAAAACAAAGGAAAAGAUGAGAGCUGUGAAGCUGCUGAAAGCGGUGCAUCUUAAAGUGAAGAUGCAACUGACGAGGUAAUGGUUGGCUUCUGGUUCUUUUUUCUUUUGCAAAAAACCUUGAAUAUACCGAGUUAUUAAGAAGGGUCACUUUAAUUUCUAAAGUUAAUAAUUUUUUAAAAAUGAGUAAUCUCAGUGUAUGUUUGGGCGCAAUUAUUUUGUUAAAAAAGAUCUUUUGAAAAAAGAUCUUUUUUAUUUUUUAACGUGUUUGGCAAAUUUCUACUAGUAAAAAUAAAAGCACUAGUAAAAUAAAAAAAAAUCUUUUUUUGAGAAGCUGUAAUUUACAUUUUUUUAAAAAGAUUUUUUUCCUUAAAAAAAGAUGUUUGUCAUGUAAUAAAUAAACAAAAAAGUACUUUUAUAUUGUUAUACCCAAACAUAAUUGAUAGAUAAAAAGACUUUUUUACAUGAGAUAUCCAAACAUAAAAUUACUUUGACUUCUCUAUAAGAUCUUUUAAAAAAAGAUAACUCGAAAAAAGAUAUUUUCUUAAAAGUUAACCCAAACAAGCCCUUAAUUCUCAACAAAAAAAAGUAUUUCCAACUUUAAUUCCAUAAUAAUCCAAUCAAAUAAUAAAAUAAUGAAGAGUUAUAUUCUAUCUAAAAUGAAGAGUUGUGAUGAAGUCAUCCUUCAGAAUUUAUGAAAUUCAUACUUGUCAUCAUAUUAACAAUUUAUUCGUUUGGAGGUAUCAGAACCUGGGCUAAAAUUGCCAUAUUCAUAAAAAAUAGAAGGUUAUCCCUGUAAAAAAAUUUAAUAUUUUAUACGAUCGUUCAAUUAAAAUCAUGUGCUUACAUAACUUUUUAUACAUAACUAUAAUUCUUAAAUUAUUAUCAACUAAGUCGCAUUGACAUUGUUGCUUUAAAUUUAACAUGAAUUAAUAAUGUCUUAGUAAGAUGAUUAGCAUAGUGAUAGAGUCUUACUCAUGUUGAAAGCAAUCCCAUGGGUCCCAACCAGCGAGUUGAAUAAUGUUGGCCAUGUUUGUGUUGUAGAAAAUAACUCUAGCAUAAGGUCUCCAAGGUCUUCUUAAGAAAGUAGAACCAUUUCCAAAGACAUUGCAAUUCUUGAACACAAAUACAUUUGAAUCCGUUGAAUUUGUUCUCUCUUGUGCUGUGAUAUAUCCUAUAAAUCCUUCUCCUAAUGCCCUUCCAAUCACACAUCUCUAUCGUUGCCAACACAAUAAUAAUAUGUUUAAUUAAUACUAUCAGCUGAUUAAUUAGAUGUAUUAUUGUUUUGUUGGCAACUAGAGAGAUGUAGUAUAAAUGUGAUUGGAAGGGUUUUAGGAAAAGGGUUUGUAGGAUAUAUUACAUCACAAGGGAGAACAAAUUCAACUGAUUCAAAUGGAUUUGUAUUUAAGAAUUGCAAUGUUUUUAGAAAUGGUUCUACUUUCUUGGGAAGACCUUGGAGAUCUUAUGCUAGAGUUCUUUUCUACAACACAAACAUGACCAACAUUAUUCAACCCGCUGGUUGGGACCCAUGAGAUUGCUCUCAACAUGAGUAAAUGUUGAUAAAAUAUUAAAAUUUUUUUUACAGGGAUAACGUUAUAUUUGCUGAAUAUGGCAAUUUUGGACUAAGUUUUGAUACCUCCAAACGAGUAAAUUGGAUUUAAAGACGAUUAAUAUGAUAACAAGUAUGAGUUUAAUAGAUUCUGAAGGAUGGAUUUAUCGCAACUCUUCAUUUUAGAUAGAAUAUUAUCAAUAGUUUCAACACCAUUUUAGAUCGAAUAUAACUUUUCAUUAUUUUAUUAUUUGAUUGGAUUAUUAGGGAAUUAAAGUUGGACAUACUUUCUUUUUGAAAAUUGAGAUUACUCAUUUUUAGAAAAUUAUUAACUUUAGAAAUUAAUUCUAUAAAUAUUUAUUCAUAUGUUCUCAGUCUUCAUAGUUAAUAUUAUUCUGGUUUCAUUUAAACUUUUUAGUUACUUUAUUUCUUAAAUGAUUAUGUAUCUGUAUAUCUAAUUAUAUUUUUUAUCUUUAUAUUUUAAAUGAAUUAAAAAAAAUGUGUUAUUAAUUUAUUAAUACAAAAUAUUUAAUAUGUUUUAUAUAAAUAAAAAAGACAUUAAAACAUUUAAAAAUUAGUUUAUUUUAAAUAUUAAUAAAAUAUUAGGAUAUGAUUAUAAUUUAAUGCUAAAUUUUGCUUUAAAAUCAUCUUUUGAGGCAAAGUUAUCCUUCUUUCCUCAUCUCUCUCAUCAGCACCCUUAACCCUAAUCCUCCCAAUCACUCUCAACCCGUCACCUCUGAUUUAUUUUAAUUAAAAAAUCCAAAAUUUGUGAAAAGAAUGAGAAAAAUCAAAGAGCAAAACCAAAACCUGUGAAGAGAAAGAGAAAAAGAGCAAAAAUAUUUUGUUUACGCUCGUUGUGUUAUUGUGUUGAUCACUUCUCAUCUUUUUUGAAUUUUAUAAGGAUAAAUUGUUUGAAAAAAAAAAUAAAGUGAAAUGAGGAAGAGGAUAUUUUUAUCCGAAAAAUAGGAAAAAAUGAUUUUAAAAUAAAACCCAACGUUAGAAAUAAUUUUGAAUAAAAAAAAUCUUAGGAAUAAUUUUAAUUUUCAGUAAAAUUAUAGAGAUCAAAAUUGUUAUUCACCCCUUAUUUAUAACAUUCUUUACAUUUGUUAAUGUACUUAUAUUUUACUUGUCCAUGUCAACAUCUUUUGAGUCAUAAACAUACUUAAAAUUAGAGGAAAGACAUACACCUAAAAUUUAUAAGUAGCCAACAUAUUUUAAGUAUGUUAUAUAUUAUCAGUCAUAUAUUAUCACAUAAACAAAAGAAAUUAAAUUUUAUAUUCUCUAUUCAAAAUUAAAGUCAUAAUUGUUUAUAAAAAAAUUUAGACAAGAGUAGUUUUUAUGUUUUCAAAAAUCAAUAAUUAUCCAAAUAUUUGAAGAAGCAAGCGACAGCCAUCCUUGAGGUCCAUGAUGGGGGGAGAACAUGGCCUGUUACUUACAGUUUUGGCAAAUUCAAUUCUGGAUGGAAGAGAUUUGCAAAAGACAAUAGUUUGAAUGUAGGGGACAUUUGUGUUUUUGAGCCCACCAAUCCCAAAGACCUUUAUUUUAAGGUAUCCAUAGCUCGAAUUGAAGAAGAGGAACUUCCGCUAUCACAAGGUAAUUAUUCUAGUUGGUAUUUCAGUGAAAGAGUCCCAAAUUGUUCUGCUUCUGCAUUGCAAUGGUUGCUAUUUUAUUCUUUACGAAUAGUUGAAGGAGACAGAGUCAAUUGUUUAGAACCAGGGAAAGUCAAUUAUGUUGAAAGCAAAAGUGACAUUAUGAUUAAAGGUAAAUUCAGGACAACUUUAUGCUGUGUGGCCAAUUGCAAGCAAGAUCUUGUUACUCACAAAAAUCAUAAGUGCUCAAUUGUUAAGGGGAAAAAAAGGUUUUGACUCUUUAUACCAUUUGUACAUUUACACAAUCUUGUGGAUCAAUAUUAUCUCAAUUUUUUCAUGUAAUUGCUGAGGUCUUUAGCAUUGAUAGUUUGUGACAUUAAAAGUAUUUCAACUAUUUCCAUAAUUAUUGCCAAAACUACUUUACAAAAAACAAUAGUGUAAUUAGUUGCUACUGAGUGCAUUCUAAAAUUAUGUGGAUUUGUUUGCAUCAAUGGCGACUCCUCCCGGCUUUGAGCCAAAUGAAGAAGCCCUGAAAGAAGCUAAGAAAUUCACCUCAGAUAAUCCAUUUUUCAUGGUCACAGUCACUCAAACCUCUUUAUUUCCCGUUUUUAAUAUUAUAAUUAAUUUUCUCUUUAUUUCUGGUCAAAGUCACUCAAACCUCUUUAUUUCUUUUCUGAAUAUUAAACAAUACUUCUCCAAAUAUAUCUUUUGAUAUGCUAAAUUUUUAUCUUGUUAAAUUAUAUAUAUUAAAAAUACAAAUUUACCUGUCAUAAGAAAAAACAGUUUUCUAGUUUAGGCUAAUAAUAUAUAUUGGUACUUAGUUUUACUUUAUGCAAUAGCUUUUAAAGAUAAUUUUUUUGGCAUUUCCAAUUGCACAAUUUUAAAUAAAAAAAAUUUUCACCACCAUAAUAAGUUUCAGAUUCCCUGACUACAUAAUUUUCAUCAUUCCCCAUUGUUUUGGGAUGUGGCUGCAAAUUGUUAUCAACAAAUUUUUCAUAUGCAAAAUAUUAUUUUUAUCCUAAAAUUUUUGGAGACGGAGAAUGAAACUUUAAUAAUAUUUUAUACCUAAAAUGCCUUAUUUCAAUUAAUUAUUUCUAACUUUACCUUUUAUGCAAAUUAAAUUAGAAUUUUAUUCUUAUUUUAGUAUGUGUCUUCUACUUUAUACAGAACAUAAUACUGAGACUUAUUUCUGUCUCUCAAAUGUCAGUGUUUCCAUCUCUAUCUCUUUUUCAAACACUACAUAAAGUGACACAAUAGCUUUUAAAGAUAAUUUUGUUUCACAAUACGAAUGGCAAAUUUGCCAAAACUAGGCAUGUGUUAUGCCUACUUUCAUUCAUAUUGGAUUUUUUCCUUUGCUGAUUAAAGAAAUAGGACCAGAGUUUUCUCUACCUUUAUAUCUAUGUUACAAACUUACAAUGAAGAGGCUGAAGGUCAUCAUAAUUUGAUAUCUGCUUGCCCUGAUGGUCCAAUAUAUCAAAAUGAUGCGGCCGGACCCAGCAAUAUGGUGGAAGGUUUGCCACGUUCAAAUGAGGCUGUUGGUAUCAGUAACAGUGGUCUUGAAACUUGCAUUAGAGAAAUACAUGAAAAGUUUGAUGAAUUAAGCAUAUUGGAAGAACUACGUAACGAAGAACAAAAUGAAUGAUUGGUUAAAGAAAGUAGAAGGCCUGAAAGAAGAAGCAGCUCAGAUAUUGCUGCAUCAGGAUGCUUUGCAAGACCCUCAAAAGGAAAUAGAUGAUUUGGAAAGAAAAUUGACCAAGCUACGUGCAUUAUACAGUGAGGUUUCAGAAUUAGUGAGUGUCUGCAGCAGCAUUUGUAGUCUCUGAAUUUCCUCCAAAAGUUUCGGUCAACUCCUGUUCAAAACUAAGACAGUCUCACCUUCGACACAAGCAAUCUCCUUCGGCUUCUGAGUCUAUAAGGGUGUUUGAAAACUUUGUGUAAUUCAAUUCAAUUUCCGCGUUCGAAACAAAAAUAAUUAAAUUAGUUUAAAUGGAAUUUAAUUAAAUUUUCUUUUUUAAAUUAAUUCAAAUUCAAAUAGAUUUGAUUUGAAAUUUUAUUCUAUUGAAAUUUUACUUAAAAUUAUUUUAAAAUGUUGAAAAUAUUUUUUAUACUAAUUAUUUUUUAACUUUCUAUUAACAUCUAUUUUUCAAUACAUAAUUUUUUAUUUUUCAAAUUUUAAUUUAUUUAAUAAAUAUUUUAAAUACAGUAAUUCAAUUCAAUUCUAUAAUUUUACUAUUUCAUUUUAAACAUUAGAAUUCAAUUAAAUUCUAUAUUAUUAAAAAUUUCUAAACAAGUUAUAUAUAGAUGUUGAUUGAAUGUGCAAUGCCAAUUAGUGCCUAUGAACACUAUAAUUUGCUUUCUCCAAAAUGCUAUUCACUUUUAUUGUCCUAACCUUUUACUUUUUCAUCAAAUAAUCAAUUUCUCGUUUCUUUUGCAGAUACAGCUUUUCUUUUUCAUUUCAAUUUCGCUAAAUAGAUAAUAGAGGUGUAAUUAACUUAAAUAAUGGAUUGUAUUCAGAGAUCCAAUAACUAUGAAAAAACACUCUAACCUAAUUUCACUUUGGGUUGCUUUCCGGUAUAGAUUUAAAUUCGUACAUAUAUACAGAGAUUCUCUUU